UCAGUGGAGAAGCUGUCUUACCUACAUGAAAUAGAAUAUAUGCAAAUCAAACAGGAUAAUGGAAUAAACAGAAAAAGGUUAAAUGGACUGUUUAUAAUACCAGGACAAAAGGAAAUUCAAGAUCUCGUCCACUGUUCUCGAGUACCACACAAAGGCAGUGAUUCAUGCUUCUCAAAGAUCUGCUGAUUUACACCAGAUAAAGAAGCCCUGUGGUUUAUUUGACAUCACUAUCCCCAUACCCAUCCAGAAAUCACAGAAAUACAAUUCUAUUUCUGUGCCUAGCCUGAAUCCCCAUCAACAUGGCUUUGGUAGAAGGACAGAGCUGGUAAGAUGUUUAAUCUGCAGGCAGUCGUAUUAAAAAAAAAAAAAAAAAA